rnacentral:rRNA from 1 species
CCUACGGGCGGCAGCAGUGAGGAAUAUUGGUCAAUGGACGCAAGUCUGAACCAGCCAUGCCGCGUGCAGGAAGACGGCUCUAUGAGUUGUAAACUGCUUUUGUACGAGGGUAAACGCAGAUACGCGGAUCUGUCUGAAAGUAUCGUACGAAUAAGGAUCGGCUAACUCCGUGCCAGCAGCCGCGGUAAUACGGAGGAUUCAAGCGUUAUCCGGAUUUAUUGGGUUUAAAGGGUGCGUAGGCGGUCGGAUAAGUUAGAGGUGAAAUCCCGCGGCUCAACUUCGGAAUUGCCUCUGAUACUGUUCGGCUAGCGUGUAGUUGCGGUAGGCUGAAUGUCUGGUGUAGCGGU